CGUCUAUAUACGUAUAGCAUAUCAAUAAGCGGAGGAAAAGAAACUAACUAGGAUUCCCUUAGUAACGGCGAGUGAAGCGGGAAGAGCUCAAAUUUGAAAUCUUCAAGGUUUUACCCUGACGAAUUGUAGUUUAAAGAAGUGUUUUCUGUUAGAUUUGAGUAGCAAAGUUCUUUGGAAAUGGGACAUCAUAGAGGGUGAGAAUCCCGUAUUUGGUACCAUUAUCUCCAGCUUUGUGAUACACUUUCAAAGAGUCGGAUUGUUUGGGAAUGCAGUCCAAAAUGGGUGGUAAAUUUCAUCUAAAGCUAAAUAUUGGCGAGAGACCGAUAGCGAACAAGUACCGUGAGGGAAAGAUGAAAAGAACUUUGAAAAGAGAGUUAAACAGUACGUGAAAUUGUCAAAAGGGAAGCGUUUGACACCAGUGUUGUUUUUCCAAAAUCAAUUAGCGAAUGGUUUGAUUUUAGGAGUUAUGACUUCAUCAGCUUGCUUACUUUCUUUACGAAGUCUUUCUUAAUGCACUUUUCGGUUAACAAGUCAACAUCAAUUUCUUUUGUUGUAAAAGAGUAUUAGGAAGGUGGCUUUCUUUUCGGAGAAAGUGUUUAUAGCCUUAUACCUCUACAAUCGGAGAGAUUGAGGUCUGCAGCGUAGAUCCUUCGGGGUUAGAUACAUUUGUGCUAAGUUGUAGCUUUUCAUAGACAACUUGUUGACUAUGUUUAGUCAUUGUAGGCUUACUCGCUUACUGCUAUUUUACCUACGCUUAGGAUGUUGACUGAUAUGUAGUCGUA
rnacentral:rRNA from 1 species